rnacentral:pre_miRNA from 1 species
AUAUUACUCCCUCCGUCCAAAAAUUCUUGUCUUAGAUUUGUCUAGAUACGGAUGUACCUAAUACUAAAACGUGACUUGAUACAUCCGUAUUUGGACAAAUCUAAGACAAGAAUUUUGGGACGGAGGGAGUAUUUU